CCUACGGGAGGCAGCAGUGAGGAAUAUUGGUCAAUGGCCAGAAGGCUGAACCAGCCAAGCCGCGUGAGGGAGGAAGGCGCAGAGCGUCGCAGACCUCUUUUGCCGGGGGACAAAAGGCCGGACGGGUCCGGUUCUGAGGGUACCCGGAGAAAAAGCAUCGGCUAACUCCGGGCCAGCAGCCGCGGUAAUACGGAGGAGGGGAGCGUUAUCCGGGUUCAGUGGGUGUAGAGGGUGCGCAGGCGGGCCCUUAAGCCGGCGGGGAAGUCGCGGGGCUCAACCCAGCCGUGCCGUCGGAACUGGGGGCCUUGAGUGCGGCGGAGGCAUGCGGAAUGCGCGGUGUAGCGGUGAAAUGCAUAGAUAUCGCGCGGAACCCCGAUUGCGAAGGCAGCGUACCGUGCCGCCACUGACGCUGAGGCACGAAAGCGCGGGGAUCGAACAGGAUUAGAUACCCGGGUAGUC
rnacentral:rRNA from 1 species